rnacentral:lncRNA from 1 species
CACCAAUGAGCAAAGCCCAUACCGCAUAGUCAGCUAUAAAAAGCCCCGAUAAGACAAUGUAAAACAAUUCAAACGAGAAAACUAACGGCCUUAUUUAUAUAAAAAAAUGAACGAAAAACAAAUAUGUAACACAUAAACAAACGACAACCACUGAAUUACAGGCUCCUGACUUGGGACAGGCACAUACAUAAAUAAUGUGGCGGGGUUAAACAUGUUAGUGGGAUACCGACCCUCCCCCUAACCUGGAACAGUGGUAUAACAGUACAACAUAAGAACGAACUAUAAAAAUCAGUUGUAAAAGGCUUAACUCAUCAGAUGGAC